AUUGAACGCUGGCGGCAUGCUUUACACAUGCAAGUCGAACGGCAGCGCGGGGCAACCUGGCGGCGAGUGGCGAACGGGUGAGUAAUACAUCGGAACGUACCCAGAAGUGGGGGAUAACGUAGCGAAAGUUACGCUAAUACCGCAUACGACCUAAGGGUGAAAGUGGGGGACCGCAAGGCCUCAUGCUUUUGGAGCGGCCGAUGUCUGAUUAGCUAGUUGGUGAGGUAAAGGCUCACCAAGGCGACGAUCAGUAGCUGGUCUGAGAGGACGACCAGCCACACUGGGACUGAGACACGGCCCAGACUCCUACGGGAGGCAGCAGUGGGGAAUUUUGGACAAUGGGGGCAACCCUGAUCCAGCAAUGCCGCGUGAGUGAAGAAGGCCUUCGGUUGUAAAGCUACUUUGUCUAGGGAAGGAAACGGUUACU
rnacentral:rRNA from 1 species